UCGCCUGUUUCAUCCUGUUCUCUCUCAUCUGUUCAACAGUGACGCUGCUUUUUAUUAAGGUGGAGUGACAGGGACCAGGGAAAUUAACCAAAUCGACUCAGAUGAAAAGAUAAAUUGCUGUAGCCUAUUUUAAAUUAAAGUAUCGGGACUGAAUUGAUUUGGGUAAUUAAAAAUGACCUGCUCUUUGAUUGCCAAGAAGAUAACGUCCACUCAUUCCUCUUUGGUGUGCCAGUGUUUCCAGUACAGCAUGUUUCACCGAAGAGCUUCACAGUGAGAGAGCUAGCAGGUGUCCUCUAGACCUACACUACCCACACGAGUGAAACUGGGCAGUCUUACCUGCUGUGCACCUGUCCUGAGUUCUCUGCAAUCAACUCCACCCUAAACUCAGCCUUCUUAAGACUGGCCUUCCCCUGCCCUCAUCCCCAGAUUGUUCCUGCACUUGUGCAGUAGAGUAUCGGCUCCAUUUUGUCUCUGGAUCUCUGUCUCAUGCUGUUUGGAAACCUACCUUUUGUCUUUUUGUGCUACGGUUCACCAGUUUGCGUCUGCCAGUCUGUUCAGCUCAGUUCCUGCCUUUGUUUUCCCAGCCUUUGUUUCAGACUCACCGGUCUUCAGCUCUGGUGGAAAAUCAUUUUUUGUUCAUAGGGACCAUGUGCACUCACCUGCUGCCCCUUCGACUUGGAUUGUAGUAGAAGGGCUCUUGUUAGUUAGUCUUAAGACUAUGUUUUUGUGAAAUGAUUUUUGCACAAGCCUAAGUAAAAGCUUUAAUUUCACUUUAACUUUGGUUUCAAGCAUCUGCUUUUGGGAUCUUAUUAUGAGAAAAGCAUAGCAGCGCCACUAUGACCAUCAUCAUACACCCAGGACAAAAUAAUGACAGUGGUAUGUAAAUUCUUCAAGAGUGGCUGAGGACAGUCAGGAGACUGGGACAUUAUCUGUGUACAAUGGAUUUAUGUCACAGGUAAAAUAAUCAGUGAGUUAAACUGAUAAUUGAAAAAUAUCCUGUUCAUACCUGGAUUGCACACUGGAUUUGUCAAACUUCAAAUGCUAUGAAAGUACAAAAGAUGAAGAUGGCCAAAUGUGAAACAAGUUUUUUACAUUUAGAGUUAUGCUGGAGAGUGAAAUAAUGGAGGGAUAGUAAUGCUGUAAUGAGGUGUUCUCAUGAUUUUGAGAUUAUGUUGGGAAGGGUGAGAGAAUCAAAAGAUUUGUUGAUGUUUUGAAUUUAUAGACAAACCAUAAAAAUGUUAGUCUUUGUAAAGUUCAGAUAAUUUGUAAUUAACUAUCUUUUAUUUAUUUAUCCUUUUUUUUUUGAAAAAAACCUGGGUAACUCAGGGAAACCAAAAUUUAUUGUGAUGUGAAUUUAUCUGCAAGCAGAGAGAGAGAGAGAGAGAGAGAGAGAGAGAGAGAGAGAGAGAGAGAGAGAGAGAGAGCAGGAAGUUGUUGUUUUUGCCCCUGCUCUCUAUAGGCCAUGUGGAUAUAAGGCUCCACAAUACGAUGCAAGUCUCAUGCUGUGUUCACACUGUAGAAUAAAGAAGUCACCUGGUGCCACUGC